AUACUCAAUCAUUUUCUUGUAGAUACCCUCCUAAAGUUCCAUUCAGUAAUUUCAAUGACAAUUCUCAACUCUCUGAUGAAGAAAAGAAAGUUCUUCCUCGGUAGGUGGGAUAAAAAUAAUUUUUGGUGGAAAACAUCGGGUUUUCUCAAAGCACAACAUAGCUAAUCGUCAAUUCGUAUGUUUUUUAUCUAGCCACAUCAGUCAAAUAGCGGAACUAAAGCAUGAGAAUUUUCAUGCAGAUUCCUGCACAAUUUGUUAUGAAAAUAGGGCAAAUGCUGUACUAUUACCAUGCCAACACAGGUAACUAUGAACUAUGGUCAGUUUUAGUACUACUCUACUUGUAGAAAGGUGUUUUGGAAAUAGUUGUGAAGUAUACCAUUGUCUGGCUGAGCUACUGAAAACUUGUAAUUGGAGACCAGGGGCCGGUUGUAUAAAAACGUAGUUAGCGCUAACUGCAGUUAAAAAGUAGUUAAAAAGCCUUAAAAAAUAGUUAACUUUAAUCACGUAGUUAAGCCGGUUGUAUAAAAGUG